UACGGAGGUGCAAGCGUUAUCCGGAUUCACUGGGUUUAAAGGGUGCGUAGGUGGGUUGGUAAGUCAGUGGUGAAAUCCCCGAGCUUAACUUGGGAACUGCCAUUGAUACUAUCAGUCUUGAAUACCUGGAGGUCGGCGGAAUAUGUCAUGUAGCGGUGAAAUGCUUAGAUAUGACAUAGAACACCAAUUGCGAAAGGCAGCUGGCUACGCGAGAUUGACACUGAGGCACGAAAGCGUGGGGAUCAAACAGGAUUAA
rnacentral:rRNA from 1 species